CCAGAGAGUGUCUAUGAAAGUUUGGAAUUU
rnacentral:piRNA from 1 species